UCACUUUUAUCUGUUGGUUUAUUAACACUGAAACAGAACAUCAUAUUUCUGUUAGAUCAGACAUGACAAUACAGACAUCAACUAUUAUCAGUUUGGAAAAAUAUCAGUUCAGUAUGUAGCUUCCUGUAAUCAGGAUGACGUCCUAUUUGCAGGUUCUUUAGAGUCAGACAUUUUGUGUUUCAGUUGGUCACCAUCUGACAUGAACAAAACAUUACCUAACCAAACUACCUACCUUAUCGUCCUGUCUUUACUGAACUCCAACAGUUACAACAAGGGCUGAGAGGAGGGUAUAUUACACAAAGAAAUAAAAUAAAUUAAAUAUUCAUAUAAAAAUAAUCUCUUACAAAAUAUAUUCUAUUAAACAAUGUCAACAACGGGAAAAAUGUGUUUUGGAAUAAGAAUGGUUUAGUCUUUGUGGACAGGUAACAGUCAGUAAGGUAACAGUCAGUAAGGCUGACCCUCAGGUAACAAGCAGGAAGGUUACAGUCAGUAAGGUUAGUCAGUAAGGUUACAGUCAGUAAGGUAACAGUCCGUAAAGCUGACCCUCAGUAAACAGUCAGUAAGGUAACAGUCAGUAAGGUUACAGUCAGUAAAAUCAGAGACAUAGCUCUGGUCAGUAAGGUUGGUCAUCUCAACCUGCAUGAUUCUGCAGACUACUAGCAGCAAACAGGUGGUUAAAACAUGGUAGAGACAUCUCUAGUUCAAACAGACAGACCGAGCUGUCUGUUUGAACUACUGGCGCACAGCUCGGACACCCAUGCAUACCACACAAGACAUGCCACAAGAGGUCUCUUCACAGUCCCCAAGUCCAGAACAGACUAUGGGAGGAGCACAGUACUGCAUGGAACUCUAUUCCACAUCAAGUAACUCAUGCAAGCAGUAAAAUUAGAUUUAAAAAAAACAGAUACAAAAAUAACUUAUGGAACAGCGGGGACUGUGAAGCAACAAAAACAUAGGCGCAUACACACACACACACGAUAGCAUACACAUGGAUUUUGUACUGUAUAUACAGUGGGGAGAACAAGUAUUUGAUACACUGACGAUUUUGCAGGUUUUUUUACUUACAAAGCAUGUAGAGGUCUG
rnacentral:lncRNA from 1 species